CAGUCGACGAACUCUGGUAUUGAUUGGUGCUUGCAUCAUGAUUUACAUUUGAGUGAGUGGCGAACUGGUGAGUAACACGUGGGAAACCUGCCCAGAAGCGGGGGAUAACACCUGGAAACAGAUGCUAAUACCGCAUAACAACUUGGACCGCAUGGUCCGAGUUUGAAAGAUGGCUUCGGCUAUCACUUUUGGAUGGUCCCGCGGCGUAUUAGCUAGAUGGUGAGGUAACGGCUCACCAUGGCAAUGAUACGUAGCCGACCUGAGAGGGUAAUCGGCCACAUUGGGACUGAGACACGGCCCAAACUCCUACGGGAGGCAGCAGUAGGGAAUCUUCCACAAUGGACGAAAGUCUGAUGGAGCAACGCCGCGUGAGUGAAGAAGGGUUUCGGCUCGUAAAACUCUGUUGUUAAAGAAGAACAUAUCUGAGAGUAACUGUUCAGGUAUUGACGGUAUUUAACCAGAAAGCCACGGCUAACUACGUGCCAGCAGCCGCGGUAAUACGUAGGUGGCAAGCGUUGUCCGGAUUUAUUGGGCGUAAAGCGAGCGCAGGCGGUUUUUUAAGUCUGAUGUGAAAGCCUUCGGCUCAACCGAAGAAGUGCAUCGGAAACUGGGAAACUUGAGUGCAGAAGAGGACAGUGGAACUCCAUGUGUAGCGGUGAAAUGCGUAGAUAUAUGGAAGAACACCAGUGGCGAAGGCGGCUGUCUGGUCUGUAACUGACGCUGAGGCUCGAAAGUAUGGGUAGCAAACAGGAUUAGAUACCCUGGUAGUCCAUACCGUAAACGAUGAAUGCUAAGUGUUGGAGGGUUUCCGCCCUUCAGUGCUGCAGCUAACGCAUUAAGCAUUCCGCCUGGGGAGUACGGCCGCAAGGCUGAAACUCAAAGGAAUUGACGGGGGCCCGCACAAGCGGUGGAGCAUGUGGUUUAAUUCGAAGCUACGCGAAGAACCUUACCAGGUCUUGACAUACUAUGCAAAUCUAAGAGAUUAGACGUUCCCUUCGGGGACAUGGAUACAGGUGGUGCAUGGUUGUCGUCAGCUCGUGUCGUGAGAUGUUGGGUUAAGUCCCGCAACGAGCGCAACCCUUAUUAUCAGUUGCCAGCAUUAAGUUGGGCACUCUGGUGAGACUGCCGGUGACAAACCGGAGGAAGGUGGGGAUGACGUCAAAUCAUCAUGCCCCUUAUGACCUGGGCUACACACGUGCUACAAUGGAUGGUACAACGAGUUGCGAACUCGCGAGAGUAAGCUAAUCUCUUAAAGCCAUUCUCAGUUCGGAUUGUAGGCUGCAACUCGCCUACAUGAAGUCGGAAUCGCUAGUAAUCGCGGAUCAGCAUGCCGCGGUGAAUACGUUCCCGGGCCUUGUACACACC
rnacentral:rRNA from 2 species